rnacentral:hammerhead_ribozyme from 1 species
AUCCAUCUGACAAGUCCCACAUAGAGCUAAACGCCUGUCCUGGAU